AGGACGAACGCUGGCGGCGCGCUUAACACAUGCAAGUCGAGCGAGAACCAGGGCUUCGGCCCUGGGGAAGCGGCGAACGGGUGAGUAACACGUGAGUAACCUGUCCUCGGCACCGGGAUAGCCCGGGGAAACCCGGAUUAAUACCGGAUGGCCUUUCGAGCUCUCGGGCUCGUUAGAAAAGGUAGCUUCGGCCUCCGGCCGAGGAGGGACUCGCGGCGGAUUAGCUUGUUGGUGAGGUAACGGCUCACCAAGGCGACGAUCCGUAGCUGGUCUGAGAGGACGAUCAGCCACACUGGGACUGAGACACGGCCCAGACUCCUACGGGAGGCAGCAGUGGGGAAUAUUGGACAAUGGGGGCAACCCUGAUCCAGCCAUGCCGCGUGAGUGAUGAAGGCCUUCGGGUUGUAAAGCUCUUUUGGCGGGGACGAUGAUGACGGUACCCGCAGAAUAAGCCCGGCUAACUUCGUGCCAGCAGCCGC
rnacentral:rRNA from 1 species